CAGGGCCUUGUGCAUGCAGGGCAAGCACUUUGCCAACUGAGCUAUAUCCCCAGCCCACGUAGGCCUCUUUCUUCACUUCUGGAUUAGGGAGGCUGAACCAGAAAACUUUUGUAGGCCUUAUCAAUUCUGUCAUUCUCUGAUAUUCUAACUUUGGGAAGGACAUCUGAGCCAUUUUUUUCCUGACAAUUUCAGGAAUGGUAUUGAUUGUGAUGGCUCUCUGCAAUUUUAUCAGCAUAUAGGUUGCAAGGUAAGGACAAUCAAUUUUAAGUGGAUGUGAGAAGUCAUGGUUACCACCCUAAAAUAACUACUAAUCCAGACAUCAGUAUAACCCCAAUGAACACAAAAACUCAAUAGGCAUAGUUUACAAUUUUGCUCCUUAACAUCUCUUGUGGUGAAGAAAAAUCACAUCUCAGUGCUUAUUGUUUAGCUAUUUAGAGUAAUUCCCCAGGGAAGAUCUUGGCAUGCUAUAUAUGAAUGACCAGUUCUGAGGGCAGCAUGGACCAGAUCUUGGUGGUGGUUGGUGGAGGGUGAUGCCUGGGCCCUGUGGUUAGGGCUCCAGUCAUAUAAUGGCAUGUGUUGGAAGAACAUGUGUCACUGUAGCCCGUGAUAUGUUUUAUGUGCCAAUUCUUGUCUAAGAAGACACACAUGCUUGAUUUUUAUGUGGUGACAGAGAAAACAGAACACUGCAGACAUCCUUCAGAAUCUGACGGGAAGGAACAUCUCAGAUUACCUAGUGAAGAUGUAUGUGCAGAUCAUAGCCAAAAGGUGUAAAAACAGAAAGCUGGAAAAGGAAAGUAAGCAUUCACCUGCAGCACAGAGGAACAUUGUUAUGCCUUUGGAGAUACCAACACGAAAAGAUGUGACAUCUGUCCUCAAGUUGUUCAUGGGCUUAAGGGGAAUAGAAAUACAAAAUGUCACAGAAUUGGCUUCAUGGGUUCUAUGACUUUGCAGAAGCUUGUGUGAAUUAGGUAAGUUACUGUAUCUUUCUGCAUUCUGUUUUUCAGUCUGUAUAAUGGAAAGAAUAUAACAUUGUUGUGAAGGUUAACUGAAUUAAUACACAAAAAGAGCCUAGAACAAUGUUUAGCACCCAGUUAGUAUCAACAUUUGUGUACUAAUUAAUUCAGUUGAGGCAUUUAACUGAUAGUGCUAGUUCAGAGAAAGAUUUUUCUUUGGUGGUGACAGGUGCCCAGGUCAAGAUAAACCUUGAAUCAAAUUACAAUAAAUGAAAUUAAAAUGUA